GACGAACCGUCCAAACGUUAUUCGGAAUUAUUGGGCUUAAAGGGUGCGUAGGCUGUGCAGUAAGUUGGGUGUGAAAUCCCUCGCUCAACCGAGGAACUGCGCCGAAUACUGCUGUGCUAGAGGAAGAUAGGGGUAAGCGGAACUGAUGGUGGAGCGGUGAAAUGCGUUGAUAUCAUCAGGAACACCGGGUGGCGAAGGCGGCUUACUGGAUCUUUUCUGACGCUGAUGCACGAAAGCUAGGGGAGCGAACGGG
rnacentral:rRNA from 1 species